UACGUAGGGGGCAAGCGUUGUCCGGAUUUAUUGGGCGUAAAGAGCGUGUAGGUGGCCAUACAGGUCAGCUGUGAAAACUCGAGGCUCAACCUCGAGACGUCGGUUGAAACCGUAUGGCUAGAGUCCGGAAGAGGAGAGUGGAAUUCCUGGUGUAGCGGUGAAAUGCGCAGAUAUCAGGAAGAACACCCGUGGCUAAGGCGGCUCUCUAGUACGUGACUGACGCUGAGACGCGAAAGCGUGGGGAGCGAACAGG
rnacentral:rRNA from 1 species